GAUGAACGCUGGCGGCGUGCCUAAUACAUGCAAGUCGAGCGAACAGACGAGGAGCUUGCUCCUCUGACGUUAGCGGAGGACGGGUGAGUAACACGUGGAUAACGUACCUAUAAGACUGGGAUAACUUCGGGAAACCGGAGCUAAUACCGGAUAAUAUAUUGAACCGCAUGGUUCAAUAGUGAAAGACGGUUUUGCUGUCACUUAUAGAUGGAUCCGAGCCGGAUGAGCUAGUUGGUAAGGUAAAGGGUUUCCACGGCAACGAGGCGUAGCCGAGCGAAGAGGGUGAUCGGCCGCCCUGGAACUUGGCCACGCACAAUACUCCUGCGGGAGGCAGCAGUAGGGAAUCUUACGCAACGGUCGAAAGCAUGACGGAGCAACGCGGCGUGAGUGAUGACGGUCUUCGGAUCGUAAAACUCUGUUAUGAGGGAAGAACAAAUGUGUAAGUAACUAUGCACGUCUUGACGGUACCUAAUCAGAAAGCCACGGCUAACUACGUG
rnacentral:rRNA from 1 species